rnacentral:rRNA from 1 species
AGCUGUAAGUAAGCUUUGAUCCAGAGAUUUCCGAAUGGGGAAACCCAGCAUGAGUUAUGUCAUGUUAUCGAUAUGUGAAUACAUAGCAUAUCAGAAGGCACACCCGGAGAACUGAAACAUCUUAGUACCCGGAGGAAGAGAAAGAAAAUUCGAUUCCCUUAGUAGCGGCGAGCGAAACGGGAAGAGCCCAAACCAACAAGCUUGCUUGUUGGGGUUGUAGGACACUCUAUACGGAGUUACAAAGGACGACAUUAGACGAAUCAUCUGGAAAGAUGAAUCAAAGAAGGUAAUAAUCCUGUAGUCGAAAAUGUUGUCUCUCUUGAGUGGAUCCUGAGUACGACGGAGCACGUGAAAUUCCGUCGGAAUCUGGGAGGACCAUCUCCUAAGGCUAAAUACUCUCUAGUGACCGAUAGUGAACCAGUACCGUGAGGGAAAGGUGAAAAGCACCCCGGAAGGGGAGUGAAAUAGAACCUGAAACCGUGUGCUUACAAGUAGUCAGAGCCCGUUAAUGGGUGAUGGCGUGCCUUUUGUAGAAUGAACCGGCGAGUUACGAUUUGAUGCAAGGUUAAGCAGUAAAUGUGGAGCCGUAGCGAAAGCGAGUCUGAAUAGGGCGUUUAGUAUUUGGUCGUAGACCCGAAACCAGGUGAUCUACCCUUGGUCAGGUUGAAGUUCAGGUAACACUGAAUGGAGGACCGAACCGACUUACGUUGAAAAGUGAGCGGAUGAACUGAGGGUAGCGGAGAAAUUCCAAUCGAACCUGGAGAUAGCUGGUUCUCUCCGAAAUAGCUUUAGGGCUAGCCUCAAGUGAUGAUUAUUGGAGGUAGAGCACUGUUUGGACGAGGGGCCCCUCUCGGGUUACCGAAUUCAGACAAACUCCGAAUGCCAAUUAAUUUAACUUGGGAGUCAGAACAUGGGUGAUAAGGUCCGUGUUCGAAAGGGAAACAGCCCAGACCACCAGCUAAGGUCCCAAAAUAUAUGUUAAGUGGAAAAGGAUGUGGCGUUGCCCAGACAACUAGGAUGUUGGCUUAGAAGCAGCCAUCAUUUAAAGAGUGCGUAAUAGCUCACUAGUCGAGUGACACUGCGCCGAAAAUGUACCGGGGCUAAACAUAUUACCGAAGCUGUGGAUUGUCCUUUGGACAAUGGUAGGAGAGCGUUCUAAGGGCGUUGAAGCAUGAUCGUAAGGACAUGUGGAGCGCUUAGAAGUGAGAAUGCCGGUGUGAGUAGCGAAAGACGGGUGAGAAUCCCGUCCACCGAUUGACUAAGGUUUCCAGAGGAAGGCUCGUCCGCUCUGGGUUAGUCGGGUCCUAAGCUGAGGCCGACAGGCGUAGGCGAUGGAUAACAGGUUGAUAUUCCUGUACCACCUAUAAUCGUUUUAAUCGAUGGGGGGACGCAGUAGGAUAGGCGAAGCGUGCGAUUGGAUUGCACGUCUAAGCAGUAAGGCUGAGUAUUAGGCAAAUCCGGUACUCGUUAAGGCUGAGCUGUGAUGGGGAGAAGACAUUGAGUCUUCGAGUCGUUGAUUUCACACUGCCGAGAAAAGCCUCUAGAUAGAAAAUAGGUGCCCGUACCGCAAACCGACACAGGUAGUCAAGAUGAGAAUUCUAAGGUGAGCGAGCGAACUCUCGUUAAGGAACUCGGCAAAAUGACCCCGUAACUUCGGGAGAAGGGGUGCUCUUUAGGGUUAACGCCCAGAAGAGCCGCAGUGAAUAGGCCCAAGCGACUGUUUAUCAAAAACACAGGUCUCUGCUAAACCGUAAGGUGAUGUAUAGGGGCUGACGCCUGCCCGGUGCUGGAAGGUUAAGAGGAGUGGUUAGCUUCUGCGAAGCUACGAAUCGAAGCCCCAGUAAACGGCGGCCGUAACUAUAACGGUCCUAAGGUAGCGAAAUUCCUUGUCGGGUAAGUUCCGACCCGCACGAAAGGCGUAACGAUUUGGGCACUGUCUCAACGAGAGACUCGGUGAAAUCAUAGUACCUGUGAAGAUGCAGGUUACCCGCGACAGGACGGAAAGACCCCGUGGAGCUUUACUGUAGCCUGAUAUUGAAAUUCGGCACAGCUUGUACAGGAUAGGUAGGAGCCUUUGAAACGUGAGCGCUAGCUUACGUGGAGGCGCUGGUGGGAUACUACCCUAGCUGUGUUGGCUUUCUAACCCGCACCACUUAUCGUGGUGGGAGACAGUGUCAGGCGGGCAGUUUGACUGGGGCGGUCGCCUCCUAAAAGGUAACGGAGGCGCUCAAAGGUUCCCUCAGAAUGGUUGGAAAUCAUUCAUAGAGUGUAAAGGCAUAAGGGAGCUUGACUGCGAGACCUACAAGUCGAGCAGGGUCGAAAGACGGACUUAGUGAUCCGGUGGUUCCGCAUGGAAGGGCCAUCGCUCAACGGAUAAAAGCUACCCCGGGGAUAACAGGCUUAUCUCCCCCAAGAGUUCACAUCGACGGGGAGGUUUGGCACCUCGAUGUCGGCUCAUCGCAUCCUGGGGCUGUAGUCGGUCCCAAGGGUUGGGCUGUUCGCCCAUUAAAGCGGUACGCGAGCUGGGUUCAGAACGUCGUGAGACAGUUCGGUCCCUAUCCGUCGUGGGCGUAGGAAAUUUGAGAGGAGCUGUCCUUAGUACGAGAGGACCGGGAUGGACAUACCUCUGGUGUACCAGUUGUCGUGCCAACGGCAUAGCUGGGUAGCUAUGUGUGGACGGGAUAAGUGCUGAAAGCAUCUAAGCAUGAAGCCCCCCUCAAGAUGAGAUUUCCCAACUUCGGUUAUAAGAUCCCUCAAAGAUGAUGAGGUUAAUAGGUUCGAGGUGGAAGCAUGGUGACAUGUGGAGCUGACGAAUACUAAUCGAUCGAAGACUUAAUCAA